GUCUUCGUGGUGUAGUGGCCAUCACACUCGGCAUGUAUUCAAGAGAUCCGUGGUUCGAGUCCUGGUGAGGGCA
rnacentral:tRNA from 1 species